AUGCAGCCUGCAGCAGACCUGCAGCAGCGCACACAGUUUCUAAUCUCCACAAGUUUACAAGCAGCUUUUUCCCCAGAACGUUGCAGGAUUUGGGCAAUGCUGACAGUCUGUUACUAUGAAAUCUCUUAUGUUGACAGUUGCAACACUGAUUACAGAUUUAAGCAGUUGGAUACCAAGGAACUUCCAAGUCACAGCACAUCUCUGCACAUCAUAGCCAGAGUAGCAGUCCAACACAAAUGGGACCUCACUUUCCCCAAUAACAGGAAGAUUCAGAUGCUGUGGUAAUGGAAGAGCUAUCUGGAAGUCAGGGCUGCCUAAUUUCCACGUCCCCCUUGAAGUCAUAGUGUGACUCUGUGACAGGUAUGUACUCCGUGCCCUUGGGAGGUUCCCUAUAUAGAACCUUGGUAGAGCUAAGUAGGUGGUCACUGGACCUGCAGGUGCUUGGCUAUAAGAGCAGAGGGAGACAGAGCCCCUCAAGACAGCAGUGCUCCCAGUUCUUAUGGCACCCUUUUCUUCGUAAACAAGUCAGGUUUUUGUGCAUAGUGAAGCCAGACAUGGAUAAUGGUAUUCCUGCCCAUCAAAUCUAGUUGUCCAGAUUAUCCAAAUUAAACUUGGUGUCCCAAGUCUUUGUUAUACCUUCCUUGGAAAAUUUCCAAGUUCUCCAAGAGACCGGGACUCACACUGGUAGCCAAGGAAGGCCAUCACCAGAUUUCGGGGUGUGAACCAUGUCUCUGCCAUCCAGUGCCAAAACAAAACAAAACAAAACAAAAAGCCAAUAGGCUUUACCCCAAAGAUCUUUAACUGAUAGUUUUCUCUGGGUUGCAGAGAGCUACUUCUCAGAGCACUGAAAGUGUUGCAAAGAAGAAAAACGUCCAUUAUUUGCUGGUUGUAGCUUGUGCAACAGGAAUAGAGACAAAUGCCUCAACAUGUUGGAUUUAAGAGCUUGACUGACAAGAUGUUAAGUCUGCCCCAAAGUCAAUACAGAGAUGCAAGUGUGUCACCUUCACAGAGCUGGCUGAACCUGCCACAGAGAGAGGAGACCUUCCUCUUUAUCUUCUGAGGUCUUAAUCUCUACCAUUUCCUGGGAACAAAACUUCUUUACAGAAAGGGUUGUUAAGCACUGGAAUAGGCUCCCCAGGGAGGUGGCUGAGUCACUACCCCUGAAUGUGUUUAAAACUUGUUUGGAUGAGGUGCUCAGGGACAUGAUUUAGUAGAGGGUUGUUAGAAUUAGGGUAGUAGGCUGUGGUUGGACUUGAUGAUCUUUAAGGUCUUUUCCAACCUGAGU
rnacentral:lncRNA from 1 species